AGAAGUAUUUUCUAAAAUCUCUCUUUACUCUGUCACUCAACUACUACUAUCCACCUUGAAUCCAGUAGCCUCGAGGUGGUUUUCUUACUUCAUAUCAUCUCGCAUGAAGACUCCUAAUUCUAGCCACUGGUCGGAGCUUCCUAUGGACAAGAAGGUUUCAAAAAUUUGCCAUUUCCUCCGUCAAAUCCUGGGCGUGAUUUUUAUGAAAAAACAAUUACCUAUAACAUUGCUGUUACGACAUCAGGAGAGGUUUUGUUGGUCGAGAUCUACUUUUACGAAACAACAAUGCGUAGGAGGUUCAGUCUCUUCAAGAAGGAUCCUAAUCCAGACCCUGAUGCUAUUAACAACGAUCCGAACCCGCUUGUUGAGGUACAUUCUCUAGGUAAUGAGGCAAUGCUUCUUGAUUUGGGUAUCACCGUGCCUGCUGACCAUACCCUUGGUAUCGAACCAAACUCUAUCUAUUUCACCCGUCAUGACCGUACUUUUAAGCGAGGCAAAAAACCUUCAUGCCUGGACAUAUGUGUGUUCAACCUUGCAACAAAGAACCUCAAACGCUUCCCUGGUCUCUACAACUUAAACUUCACAGAUGCUCGAUGGUUUCUCCCCUCAUGAUCUUGAUUUGUUUUUCUUUUCUUGGAGAGUUCACACAUUUUCUCUUCUGUUAUAAUUCUUUUUAUAUUCUAUGUGUAUCGAAUAAGCUUUGAAAACAUAUUAAGGACUAAAAACAUGAUAUACCUCCAACUUAAAGCUCAUGGAUGCUCGAUGGUUUCUUCCGUCUUGAUUUGUUUCUUUCUGCAUUCCUUUGUAGUGUUCUUAAGAGAUUUUUUACACCU